rnacentral:rRNA from 1 species
CUAAGUUUUUUGCCGAAGCUGUGGCUACAUCACAUAGAUGAUGUAGGGUAGAGGAGCGUUCCGUCCAGGGGGAAGCCAAGCGCGUAAGCCGCGGUCGACAGGACGGAAGUGAGAAUGUCAGAUUGAGUAACGUAAACAUUGGUGAGAAUCCAAUGCCCCGAAAACUCAAGGGUUCCUGCGCAAGGCUCGUCCGCGCAGGGUCAGUCAGGACCUAAGGUGAGGCCGAAAGGCGUAAUUGAUGGCAAGAAGGUUUAUAUUCCUUCACUAAUCUAGGCUUAGUCCUGAGGGACGAACAAAUAACACUCGGCACAACGGCCACACUUGGCAGUAUGGAUAAACCCGUUGCUGUUUGAUGCUAUUUAUUCCAAGAAAAGCUCAUUCGACUUUGAGUCUAGAUUACCUGUACCGUAAACCGACACAGGUGAGUGGGUUGAAUAAACUAAGGGGAGCGAGAUAACUCUCUCUAAGGAACUCGGCAAAUUGGCUCUGUACCUUCGGAAGAAAGAGUGCCCUGCAUAAGGGCCGCAGUGAAGAGAUCCAGGCGACUGUUUACCAAAAACACAGGUCUCCGCAAAGUCGUAAGACGAUGUAUGGGGGCUGACACCUGCCCAGUGCCAGAAGGUUAAAGAAGUUGGUUAGCAUAAGCGAAGCUGAUAACUGAAGCCCUGGUGAACGGCGGCCGUAACUAUAACGGUCCUAAGGUAGCGAAAUUCCUUGUCGGGUAAGUUCCGACCCGCACGAAAGGUGUAACGAUCUGGAUACUGUCUCAGAGAGAGGCUCGGUGAAAUAAAAAUAUCUGUGAAGAUGCGGAUUACCUGCACGCGGACAGAAAGACCCUAUGAAGCUUUACUGUAACCUGGAAUUGCUCUCAAGCUUAUUUUGCGCAGCUUAGGUGGGAGACGUUGAACUUCUUUUUCCGGAAAGGAGGGAGUCAUCAGUGAGAUACCACUCUUGGUAAGCUAGAGCGCUCAUUUCUAACCGUUAUCCGGUAGAAAGACAGUUUCAGGCGGGCAGUUUGACUGGGGCAGUCACCUCCCAAAAGGUAAUGGAGGUGUACAAAGGUUCGCUCAGGCUGGACGGAAAUCAGCCAUAGAGUGUAAAAGCAUAAGCGAGCUUGACUGCGAGAAGCAACCAACCUUGAAGUUUCACACCAUCACUUGCUGUGUACUUAACUGACUGAA